AAAAAAAAACGAAACUCAGGUUCUCCCCGUAACCCUGCAGAGGAUAGACUAUAUUCUUUACAAAGAGAGAGUUCACCGUUUGGCUUCCAUUUUUUCUCCUCUCCAUUCGAUUACUAUUUUCAGAGGGCAAAGACGAUGGUAAUAGUGGGUCCCAUUUGAAUCUUUAAAAUCAGAUAUGUUGAAGCUAUUUGCGAGGAUUGCUGGGUACUUCAGCAAUCGGAAUCUGGUUGGGGUGGACAAAGCGGGCAACCGGUACUUCACCAGAAAGGACGAGAUUGAUGGUAUCAUGAAAGAGAAAAGAUGGGUUGUGUUCAGGGGAGAGGAGGAUUCAACUUGUAUUCCAGUUGUGGAUAUUGAGAUACUAGCCAAGCUGAGGAUAAAACAGUCCCCAGUUGAAUGGAUAUGCUGGCUUAAUGGGCAGCGCAAAAUAGCUCCAACACCUGAGGAAAUUAUGGAACUGGAAGCUAGGCGUGAACGAGUUCGGCAAAAUGUUGCUCGUCUCAAGAAAGAAGAGGAGGAAAAGAGAGCCAAAGAAGGGAAUGCUUGCAAAACCAGCAUCAGUGGUAAAGUUGGAGGUCCAGACUUGAAAAGUUUCAUUCGGCAAUUUCCAGAUGCAUCAGAAGGUGGCAAAGUCAAGGAAGCUUCUGAUGCAAUGGAUGGCACGAGGUAGGUUAGCCCAAAUUUUUAUUUAUGAUAGUACCAAGAUAAAGUAACAGUAAAGCUAUAAUUUUUCAAAGCUUGGAGCAUUUAAUGUAAUGCGGAACUCUAAAGAGAGAGUGACAGAGAAAGCAGAAACAGAGCCAGAGUCUUCGGAACCUACCGGAUCUGGCGCGUCAUUUAAGCCAGGGACAUGGCAACCUCCAUCAUGAAUGAUGAUCUCAUGUUCAGGGGUUCGCCAACACAAAAUUGCGUGGUCCAAGCCAUAAUACUUUUGUUCCAUGGAGUUAAAUGUUUUUGGCACACUGCUCCAUCUAUGUUCUUUAAAUCAGUCUUCUCUAAAAUUUAGGUAGUUUUUGUGUGUAACAGUGCAAGUGAAAUUAUGAUUCGAACUUCUCUCUUCAACAUACAAAUGAGUACGUUUUCCCCCAACCUGAAAUUACAGUUUAUUGAGCAUUACUAAAGUUCCUUGCCAGAUGUGAUUCUUUCUGCAGAUAUGUUGGAGAAUAAUAAUAAAGAACCUUUUCCCAUUUU